CCUAAGGUAGCGAAAUUCCUUGUCGGGUAAGUUCCGACCUGCACGAAUGGCGUAACGACUUCCCCACUGUCUCGACCAGGAGCUCGGCGAAAUUGCAGUACGAGUAAAGAUGCUCGUUAAGCGCAGAAGGACGAAAAGACCCCGGGACCUUUACUAUACCUUGGUAUUGGCGUUAGGCGCGGAUUGUGUAGCAUAGGCGGGAGGCUUUGAAACGGUGGCGCCAGCCAUCGCGGAGCCGCAAGGUGAAAUACCGCUCUGUUCUCGUUUGACGUCUAACCUCGACAAGUCAUCCUUGUCAGGGACAGUGCCUGGCGGGUAGUUCAACUGGGGCGGUUGCCUCCCAAAGAGUAACGGAGGCGCUCAAAGGUCCGCUCAGCCCGGUUGGCAAUCGGGUGUCGAGUGUAAUCGCACAAGCGGGCUUGACUGCGAGGACGACGGUCCGAGCAGGGACGAAAGUCGGAGAUAGUGAUCCGGUGCCGGCGCACGGGCGCGGCAUCGCUCAACGGAUAAAAGGUACCCCGGGGAUAACAGGCUGAUCAUUCCCAAGAGUCCAUAUCGACGGGAUGGUUUGGCACCUCGAUGUCGGCUCGUCGCAUCCUGGGGCUGGAGCAGGUCCCAAGGGUUCGGCUGUUCGCCGAUUAAAGCGGCACGCGAGCUGGGUUCAGAACGUCGUGAGACAGUUUGGUCUCUAUCCUCUGCGCUCGUUGGAAUCCUGAGGAGGCCUGCCCAUAGUACGAGAGGACCUGGGUGGACGAACCUCUGGUAUGCCGGUUGUCGCGCCAGCGGCACGGCCGGUUGGCUACGUUCGGGAGGGAUAACCGCUGAAAGCAUCUAAGCGGGAAGCCUGCUCCAAGAUUAGGAUUCCGUACGGUCUUGAACCGUUGUAGCCCGCAUGUUGAACACGUGUUUGAUAGGCCGGAGGUGGAAGCCCCGUGAGGGGUGGAGCCGACCGGUACUAACGGGCGACGGCGACAUAAC
rnacentral:rRNA from 1 species